rnacentral:rRNA from 1 species
CAAAUUUCUGCCCUAUCAAGUUUCGAUGGUAGGAUACGAGGCCUACCAUGCUUUUUACGGGUAACGGCGAAUUAGGGUUCGAUUCCGGAGAGGGAGCCUGAGAAACGGCUACCACAUCUAAGGAAGGCAGAGGCGCGCAAAUUAACCCAAUCCUGAUUCAGGGAGGUAGUGACAAUAAAUAAAAUACCAGGACUUCGGUCUUGGAAUUGGAAUGAGAACAAUUUAAAUCUCUUAUCGAGGAACAAUUGGAGGGCAAGU